AUAGCGUAUGCAAAAGUUGUUGCAGUUAAAAAGCUCGUAGUUGGACCUCUGGGAGGGUGCCACUGUCCGCAUGUUGCGUGUGCAGCGGCGCCCUUCCAUCCUUCUGUUAACGAUUCUUGGUAUUCAUUUACUGGUUUCGGGCUCAGAUAUUUUACCUUGAGAAAAUUAGAGUGUUUCAGGCAGGCUUGCGCCGGAAUACAUUAGCAUGGAAUAAUAGAAUAGGACUUCGGUCUCCCUUGUUGGUUUGAGGGACUGGAGUAAUGAUUAAUAGGGACAGUUGGGGGCAUUAGUAUUUAAUUGUCAGAGGUGAAAUUCUCGGAUUUGUUAAAGACUAACUUAUG
rnacentral:rRNA from 1 species